UAGGGAAUCUUCGGCAAUGGGUGGAACCCUGACCGAGCAACGCCGCGUGAGUGAAGAAGGUUUUCGGAUCGUAAAGCUCUGUUGUUAAGGAAGAACGAGUGUGAGAAUGGAAAGUUCAUACUGUGACGGUACUUAACCAGAAAGGGACGGCUAACUACGUGCCAGCAGCCGCGGUAAUACGUAGGUCCCGAGCGUUGUCCGGAUUUAUUGGGCGUAAAGCGAGCGCAGGCGGUUAGAUAAGUCUGAAGUUAAAGGCAGUGGCUCAACCAUUGUAGGCUUUGGAAACUGUUUAACUUGAGUGCAGAAGGGGAGAGUGGAAUUCCAUGUGUAGCGGUGAAAUGCGUAGAUAUAUGGAGGAACACCGGUGGCGAAAGCGGCUCUCUGGUCUGUAACUGACGCUGAGGCUCGAAAGCGUGGGGAGCGAACAGG
rnacentral:rRNA from 1 species